AAAACCCCGGGUCAAUUCAAUUUUUUCGACUCAGGAUCAGCACAGCGUAGGAACUCAAAUAUCCCGAGGUUGGACAGUUCUACUUCUGACUGCACAAAGCGGCUGACACGCCAAGUUUGUCUAGUGCUAAAGAGCUAAUAUUGAAAACUGUUAUUUCAGCUUCUAGCGGACACCCGGCACUUACAAAGUUCCCCAAGAUAAGGCUAAAAAACUCACGAAGACUUUAUCAAAAAAUUGUCCACAUUCUGGAACAACAACGCAUAAAAUAGUUUCAUCACACCUAAGCGUGUUAGCUUAUGCAUAAUUUUUCAAUACCGAAAUACGUCUUAUUUCAUGUGUUCUCUGAAUAAACUUGAAGAUCACGGAUAUUGUAUAUUAGUAAAGCAUAGUCAUGUCCCUAUCCAUAAUCGACGGUAUCGCGCUUGCUGCUCUAUGCAAAUCAAACCUAUUGAUUAUCAAAGAGCAAGAAACAGAUAGUUUUUUUGAAUUAGUUAAGCAAGCAUAUAAAUCGCUCUGGCCCAAUGGUUGUGUUCUGAGAAGUAUAGAUUGCCGUUCGAACCAAACUUCCUCAAAAAACCUCAAGGAAUAUUCUUCCUAUGAGGAAAUUGUGUUUUAUUUUGCAAAGAUUCAAAAGCGAAGAAUUCGAAAAAAUAAUACAACACCGACUAAAAACCAGUUAGAACAGUCGGACUUUCGUAUUAUUCUGGCUCUAGAUAACAUCCACUUAAUGAAUGAACUAGAACAAACCUCUAUACUUUUGAAACUUAUUGAAAUAAAAGAUCAGUAUUCUUGCUUAGAAGUGUAUCAGCCACUGGUUAUUGCGUCGUUUGUAAAUCUUUCAGGGCGCGCACUCCAACAAAAUCUGUUGGAUGCAUUUCUGUGCUGCAUCAACGGCUCGAACUGCACGAAAGAAGAAUCCAUCGUUGUAAACAAACAAUUUUCUUUACAACCUUCUACAUAUCGUUCCUUAUCAAAAGUGAUAGUUGACGACGAUAUCGUCACCUACAUAAGAAACAUUUUGGCCGUGAUAAAUGGGAGCAUUCAAACAUUGGAUUGCCACAUACCUCCAAAUAUAUGCUCA